rnacentral:rRNA from 1 species
GGAUGCGAUCAUACCAGCACUAAAGCACCGGAUCCCAUCAGAACUCCGAAGUUAAGCGUGCUUGGGCGAGAGUAGUACUAGGAUGCGUGAUCUCCUGGGAAGUCCUCGUGUUGCAUUCC